rnacentral:lncRNA from 1 species
CUCACUUUAAACAGUUUAACCCUGGUACUUUAUCCUUGGGAUGUUUCCGUCUCUGGGUUCCUUUUUUAAAGCACUUUAAAGAACAUGGCUGUGAUAGUUGAGUGCCUAACAGUGACUUGGGGGUGGUGCAGUGACUGGCGUUGGGAUUUGGACUGUGUUCCUCAUGCCCGGAUUGGGGAAUGUCCUGGGAGGCUGCUGUGACAGUGAGACUGCGCCGGGUCGGUGGUUGGGUGACUUGUACGUUGCUCUGUAUUCUGAAAAACCAGUCCUGUUGUGUCCUGAACAGAACUACUAACCCUUUCCUUCCCUUCACAAAAAUAAAGGUGUGAGCUCCAAACUCGCUCGGGUUGUUGUAUGGCUAUGUUCCUGUGUUACAUUUUCGACCCUGUCCGGCGGCCUUGGCCUUGAAGGCUGCAUCUUCACACUGUACAUGGAGGUCUCUGUUCACUGGCGCCCACGCAGUGAGUGCUGCCUGCCGGGCGGGAGGGGCCCUCAGUUCACUGCUGGGGAAGGUGUGUUGAGCCACACGGCCAGUUGUGCUGGGUGUCAAGGGAGGAGAGUAAUUUCACCGGAAUCCAGACUCUUACACGGGGAGACGCCCAAAUGGUACCUUUCCUCGUGGUUUGGUGGAAACGAAAUAGAACGGGCGUGUGAUGUGUUUGUCUUUGGGAGGCUGGACUGUGUCGGGUUCGCGUCCAAGCACAAGGUUUUGAUCUUAUUAAAGAGUUUGGCUUUGGCUUCAUUUUCUCCUGUUGGUAAGUGGCUGAACCGGUCGGACCUCCUGGUGUUACAUAAGCAAAGGGUGUGGCUUGGAGUCCGGAGUGUGCGUCACCGUCACCCGAGUGCGUCAUCAUCGUCAGGAAGCAUCCUGUGUCGUGGGUGGGAGGCAGCGUUCCGUCCUGGGAGCUGCCCGUGUGUGUCAGCUCUUUCCGGCUGUGAGGCGUUGACUCACAGGAGACAAACUUGGGCUCAGAAUAGAAACCACGGGCAGCCUCCUGCUGACGAGGGAGGCGCUGUUUCCAGGGAGCAGAGGGGAGACUGCGGGCUGGGUGCUCUGGUCUGGGAAGGGGCCGUGGGACCUGAGCUUGAGCAGAGGGGAGCGGGCCUGCCCCCUCCCUGGCCACGCUCCCUUGUACACUACCCAGAAGCUGGCGUGGGGUGCGGGGGGAGGAAGGCCCUGUGCUACCCGCCCGCGACGCUGCGGAGCCCGAGGGCGCGCUCGAGACGGGGCCGAGCCAGCUGGAGCCGGACAGCAGUUAGGCAGCCGAGGGCGCGUGUGAGAAGAAAACUAGAAGAUGACGAUGGUCGGAAAACUAGAGAUAGAAAAUGA